rnacentral:rRNA from 1 species
AUUGAACGCUAGCGGCAUGCUUUACACAUGCAAGUCGAACGAGUGGCGGACGGGUGAGUAAUAUCUCGGAACGUGCCCAGUAGCGGGGGAUAACUACUCGAAAGAGUGGCUAAUACCGCAUACUCUUCUAGCGGCCGAUAUCGGAUUAGCUAGUUGUUGGGGUAAAGGCUCACCAAGGCAACGAUCCCUAGCUGGUUUGAGAGGAAGACCAGCAACACUGGGACUGAGACACGGCCCAGACUCGUACGGGAGGCAGCAGUGGGGAAUGUUGGACAAUGGGGGAAACCCUGAUCCAGCCAUCCCGCGUGUAUGAGAAGGCCUUCGGGUUGUAAAGUACUUUUGGCAGAGAGGCGGUAACUGCAGAAUAAGCACCGGCUAACUACGUGCCAGCAGCCGCGGUAAUUC